CAUCCCUCCAGCAAGGCAGGGGGAAGUUGCAGGGGACUUGGUCUCUUUUUGGUCCUCCAUUCCUGGGUGGAGAUGUACUUUGCAGCAGGAAAUGUGCCUGCUCAGCCACAGGAGGGAUCCAGGUGCUGGUGCCAUCUCUAAACCCUGAGCCGUGGGGAGCCAGGCUUCACCUCCAGCCCCGGGCUCUGCACACUGAGAUGUCUCCUGGGGACCCAGCAGUGGCAAGUCAGACUCAGUGCACAAACAGGGUCUGGAACAAAUGGUUGGCUGUCCAUGACCUGCUUGGAGGAAAAGGCAGCAGCAGGAUAAGGUCUGGACGGUUGCUAAGAGAAAAACAAUUCUUGGCAAAUUCCUGGAAGUGCUUGCCUCCUCCAGUUUGGAUGAAGACCGCUCAACACAGAUGGGUAGGUGUGAGCUUCUGUCUCUUCGCCUUCUGAGAAUUGUUUUCGCCAGUGGAAAACUGAAGAUGAUAAUGCUCCCAUUAAAAAUGAGGUGAAUGCUCAGGCUAACAUGAGUGGGUGGAAAGGACUUCAAACAGGAUGAAUCUGGGGACAAACCUACCCUUGCCAAGACAAACAGCUGCAGAGAGCUGCAGGAAAGGAAAAGGGCACUGCUGUUCAGAAUGAUUCAGUCACACAGGGCUGAUUGAGGCUGUGUAUCCAUCAAUUUAUAACGAAAAUCAGUGGCUGUCAUAUGAAGAAAGAAAAGGAACAUCAUCUGUCACACAGGAGGACUGGAGAACUGAUAUCAUCAGGACAACAAGCUGAUAUUCCAUAGGACAGUAGAGAUGUGGGAUGAGUGCAAAGCAGAAAGCUCUCACUCUCCUUCCUACAUCUGUCUUUGAUUUUCUCUGCCUCUAUCUGCCUGUUGUUGAUGUUUUCUCACAUUAUCUUGGUCCCUCUGUUCAAGCUGCAUUUCAUUCCAAGGAGGCAGGGAGCUCCAGGUGUGAACGAGGGCUGUGAGCAUGAACUCCCUGUCGCUGCUAUUAUUGUUACCAUUCCUCUGAAACCAGCCUGGUGGAGGUUUGGCUCUGUGGAAUUUGUUCUGCUGUUUUAACCGUAUCCUUGUUAAAUGUGGAAAAUGGAAUGCAAGUGGAAUGACAAUGUGGAAAGUGGAAUGAAGUGCAGUGCUUUGCAUGAUGGCUUGCACCCAAAGGUGCAGCCUUAGCUAAUGAAGUGCUGGCAUGCUGUGGAGCAAGAUGUUUGAGAUUGCAGGAUUGGGAUCUGCUGCUCAGAUGAAUCAGGUGUUCAGGACUCGCUGAUCUUCUUUGU